GGUCAUCACCAUGAACGCCGGGUUGUUCAGCAGAGUCUUUAUAGUCACAUUUCUCCCCACGAUCGCGUCCACCGGGCCGUCCGGCAGGAUGUCGUCCUGCCCCACACAGGACCCUGAGGAGAGGGGGAACACGGAGGACAGCAGAACCAGAAGCGUCUUCACGGACAACAGAUCCAUCCCGGAGGUUCAAGUGUUUCCAGCAGGGACGACAGACAGAAAAUGCGGCUGUACCUGCUGCUUUUACAGGGACACACCCAGGCAAGGACCUGAUAAAUACACUGAGAGUCUGCUGCCUCCUGCUGGACGUCUGCAGAAGUUAUUCAGCUGAUCAGAGUCGAUGAUGAUGAUGAUUCUCACGGCAUGUGUCCCGACCGACCCGGAGCUGAAGGAUUGGACUGUUCUGAUACCGGCACCACAAGUGUGUCCUAUACCCCGGCACAAGUGGCCCAAAACAGCACAAGACUUCAAGGAUUCUCCAGCAAAGUUCAUGUUGUACAAAAGGAUUUAACCUGAACCAGAUCAAGCAAUGACAGCAUUCACAUGGCAUUUUUUAAAGCACAGGAAUCUGAAAAAAAAAAAAAAAAAAAAAAAAAA